ensembl:snRNA U6atac minor spliceosomal RNA
GUUUUGUAUGAAAGGGAAGGGAAGAAAGGUCAGCAUUCUCCUUGGCCAGGGUAGAAGUACUCGAGUCUAACAAUAUGCAUACGAUGAAGGUAUUGUUACCUACUUUUGGCCUUUAACCACUGCUUUUU